rnacentral:rRNA from 1 species
AUGACGGAUGACGAGAAGACCAAGCAGCUGGCGGAGUACUCCGGUGCGGCUAAAGUAUUUGCUGCUCCGGCGAGUUCGUCAUAUCCACGGUUUGAUCGUGAGAACUUCGGGGUCUGGAAGGCCCUCAUGGAGUGUGGUCUCCGCGCCAAUGAGCUAUGGGACGCGGUGGAUCCCGGAGGCGACGCAUUCAAGAAGGAGGGAGCCGAGCACCGGAAGGAUCGGCAGGCGGCGUCGGCGAUUUACUCGGUGAUGCCGAUGGAUGUCCUCCAACACCUAAUCGCCAAAGCAACGACGAAGGAGGUGUGGGAUAGCUGA